AUGACUAACUGGCGUUGGACGAACUUUGCAUUUCUAAUUGUUUUUCAUGUCUUGUCCAUGUCAACAGCAACGGGCAAUACAGACAACACACUUCUGAAUUUACAUGAUGGGAAAAGCUUGGACCAGAGUGUGCUGCACAGUGCUGUCCCUAAGCCCCAACGCUAUGACACCACGGUACCUCUCCUGCUGGAAGGGCGGCAGCGCAAACCACUCAGCCAGCUCAAGUCCAGGAGUCAUCCUGCAUCACUGAAGCUGGUGGUGGAGGCGGAAGGUGAACAACUGGUCCUGGCACUAGAAAAAAACCAGUAAGUCAUCAUUCUAUAUUCCACUGCACAUCCUAAAGUCCUACAUCAGACCUUCAUCACUACAGGCAUCUCGGCUUCCAAAGGAAUAUGGAUGUUUUGGGGACUAGUGAAAUGGUUUGUUUUGAAUUUGGGAAGAUACAAGUACAUUAACAUAUGGAGUAAACAAUGAUCAGAUGUGUUGCUUUUCAGCUAGCAUAUGCUGUGCCCGUGGCUGUAGUAAGAGCUAUGGGAAACGAUUCUACAGUAUGAGGGCAGAUACAGUUUCAUGGAGGGGAAGAAAUAUUUCACUUAACAAAUGUCGAGGCACUUUUAUGGUUUAGUCUCUCUGAAGAGUUGAGUGAUGAUAGUUGAUAAAGAAUGAGGGUGAAGUGGACUCGAGAGGUUGUUUUUUUCUCUCAACACCUUUUUCUCUUCCAGACUGUGGAAUAUAACACCAGGCAUGAGAACUGGGAAUCCUGUGGAGUAUUUGUGAAAUCAACUGCAUAUAUACACACUGUUCAUAUAUAUACAGUACAAGCUAAGCAUUUCCAGAAGCAAGGAGACUUGGGCCAGGUAUUAGGUCUGAAGCAGCCAUAGGCCUUCACGUAUUUUAUACUUGGCUUAAUCAUUGCGUUUGCAUGUGUAACUUACAGUCCUUGGCUUGGACACUGUGCAGGAGACAUGAUCUCCCUCCAGUUAGUUUAGUCUGCCAGGUUUGAUGGACCACCAUAGAUGCAUAGACUACACCAGUAGGGAUAAGACCCCUGAGAUCUAUCAGAUUUCACUGCAACGCUACUGAGAUAGUACAUACACUUUGACAUUAGGAUAUUCUCAUGGAUUUUGUGAACUGCACUCACUCCCAUCACUCCUUUGAAACACACCCACUAUUAACAUCAAAACUCUGAUUUUCCUCAUCACCUCACUUCUACUGUCCAACUUAAUAUGUGUCCCUGACAGAAUUCCCACCACCCUAUUCCUAAAAAUAAAAAAUCCCACCCAACUACCCUACCCGCAUCGCCAACCUUGGUGACCCGUGUGUCAGCUUUGAGAGAUAAGCCAGCCCAGGAAUUCCCUUCCGUCUGUCCUCCUCCCUGCCUCCCUCCAGAUGUGUCCGCUGAUGUCUGUCUCACGUCUGUACCCAGACACAGGUGGUGUGUGACCUCUGCAUGCUCUCUGUGUGUGCACUGUGCGGGGUUGUACCCUCCCUGCCUUCUCUGUAGGAUCAGGAGGUAGGAAGAACCUCUGAGCCAGCACAGAGUAGUAGUUUGCUCUCUCAGUUUGUGGUGUAUAACACCACAAUAUGCUGCAAAUGUCCACUUAAUAGCUUUCAGUGUUAAGUAUGAAGGUUCUAUUAUCCUAAGAAAUUAGUUUAACCAAUAAAUUAGCUGCACUGUAGACAGACAGAUCUAAGCGACAGGUAGAGCAGGAAGUACCCUGAAAUGUAUAGAAAUUCUGGUAUGCAUUCUAUAAGAGUUUGUGUUUUUUUGGUUUUCAGUAAGAGUGAGUUGGUCAACUGAAUUAAAGGACCUGUUUAGUAAGUGGAUGUGUUCUGGGCUGAGUUAUGCAAGGUUUACUUUAAGUGGUGGGUUUUUUACAGAGUUCUGCUGAGUCCAUAAGGUUUCCUAAUUUGGUUUUCCUCAAGUGCACACCUGGUCCAGGGCCAAUCUGAAAAGAUCUAGCUCUACCAAAAGUAAACAGAAUAGCAAAUCUAAUUAAUAAACCAAUAUGUUAGCUAACAGCCCUCUGACACAACAGUCUGGCCUAGAGCAAGUAUAGAGCUGUUCAGGCUGUGUGUUUGUUCAUUGAUUAUCAUCAAUAGAUUGAUUCCUCUAUCCUCUCAGCUAGAAGCACUCACAACCUGUGUAGCAUUAACAGUAUUGUAAGACCAACUCAGUGACCUUGUGGUUAGUGUCUGUCCAGAGAUUGGAAGGUUGGGAGUCCCUGGCCGAGUCAUACCAAAGACUAUAAAAAUGGGACCUGAUGCAUCUCGGCUUGGCCAUAAGGAGAUAGAUUGGGGGAAGGCCCUGUGAUAGACUAGCGUCUUGUCCAUGGGGUGUACUUGUACAUCAAGCUGCCUCAUGCUACAGAAACAGGAGAUACUAAUUUGAGCUGUUCUGGCUUGCACAAGCAAAGGCUACUUCCAGUUAUUGAGUCUCUCUAAAGUAACAGCCCAAACCUACUUCAACUUUUUCCUUUGGUUUCUCCUGGAAAUAUUUGACCCAAAAAAGCGGUCAAUUUGGAGUUGGACCUGCAUGUUCUGUCUGAGCUUGAUGUUGGCUCUCUGUCAGCUCUGUACCUGAGCAACAGACUGAGAAAUUAGGCUGAUGCAUCUGGCCUCAUUGGAUCCUGGCUCUCAUUUAUUCCCAUUUCUCUGUUUAGCUUUUGGAGGGUGUGUGUAUGUGUGUGUGUGUCUGCCAGCAGAGCUGUUUUUAUUUAUUCAGUCUGAGUGGAGUGCCUCCCAGCUCCUGAAGCAGCACCCACCGGAUCAUUGUUUCAAUGUAUUCAAGGCUUCAGAUAUUGAUUUUUUUUAAUGGAAUUUUCUGUCAUUAGUCAGGAACAGAGUGAAAAAUACAAGAAACUCACAACGGCCCACACUUCAUGCAGACACCAAGCUGUGUAAAAACAAAAUGGAUCCGAUUAUGCAAAUCAUGAAGGACAGAGUAGUGAGAGGAUGAAGAAAGAUUGACUGAAGGAGGAAGGUUAUAAGUCUUACACUUGGCUUUGGUUAUGUCGAUACUUUUUGAUGAGGUCUAGACCUUAACAUGCCAGUUUUAGUCGCUCUUGAUGGCAGGGGCCUGAACAAUUGCAGUUUUCAGGCAAUACAUGACUACUACAAGCAGUACUGAGACUAUAGAGAAAUAGUGUUCUGAAUCCAUAGGGGGACUCAAAGGUCAAAGGUGAUAAUAGCCGUGAUCUAGAGCAUGUUAGACAGCCUCUCAUGAUGUCAGUCCUAUGAGACAUUACACUGAUUAAAGACUGCAACUGUAGGAAGAAAGAAUGUGUGUGCAUGUGUGCGUGCGUGCGCUACCUGGUCUCAUAGACUAGGCGUAACAUAGUAAAUGUAAAUCCGAGGACACUCAAAUUAGUAUGAUAUGUGACGUUUGGUAUGGUUACAUAAGACAGAAGGUUACUUAAGGCAAGAAACAAAAGGAGGGUGGUUGGUCGGGGUGGAUGGAUGGAUAGGACCCAAAGGUUGCGUGUUCGAAUGUCAUCAUGGACAAUUUAGCAUUUUAGCUAAUUAGCAACUUUUCAACUACUUUUUAGAUUCUUUGCAACUAUUUGGCAUGUUAGCUAACCCCUCCCCUAAACCUAAUCUUAACCAUUUAACCUAACUCCUAACCUUAACCCUAACCCCUACCUCUAACCCCUAGCCUAGCUAACGUUAGCUAGCUAGCUAGCUUAUGUUAACCCUUUAACCUAACUCCUAACCUUAAUCCUAACCCCUACCUCUAACCCCUAGCCUAGCUAAUGUUAGCCAGCUAGCUAAUGUUAGCCAGCUAGCUAAUGUUACCAUUAGCCACCUAGCUAACAUUAACCACAACCAAUUGGAAAUUCAUAACAUAUCAUACAUUUUUGCAAUUUCGUAACAUAUUGUACAUUUUUGAAAUUCUUAACACAUUAUACAUUUACAUAUUUGUUCAUAUCAUAUGAAUUGUAAUUCGUAACAUAUCAUACGUAAUUGAUUAUGGACAUCCACAAAUUAAUACAUACUAUACUAAACGGAACAUAUCAUACGAAAUGGAGUGUCUUGAAUUUACGUACAGAAUAAUAUGAAAUGCUCUGAGACCAGGUUGAUGUGUGCCGGCUAGGUUGAGUGGAUUUUGAGAAAUUGUCUUGUCAGGAAGAGUUCCGUUUCAUACUGUUCAAUUUUCCAAUUUUCCUAGUACAUUCAUUUGAUUCAGGUCAUGCUGUACUUUUUGGUGUUGCAAAGCUUUUAGUAUGUAACUGCACAUAAUUUCAGCAUUAGGCAUCUACAGUAAUGAUACAGGAAAUUCUCAGACAACAGAAUAACUUUUUAAUGUCUUCAUUCAUUUCUCUUAUCUGGGCCAGCUCCUGAAAGAUUUGUCUUGAAUUCAUUCGACAGCUCAGUUGUUGACAGAAUACUUUCCCAUGAAGACAUUUCCUCAAAUACUUUUCUGCCAGGAAGGAAUAGGAGAUUGGGGAUCCUUCACAAACACAGGUCACUGUUAAACAACAUCAUUAUGGCUGCCACAAACAUCCCCAUAGCAACAUCCUCCUCAAGACUGUCAUGAUUAGCAGGAGAUGAGUUCAGAUGAGGCCCCGUAUGUGCUGUACCAAACAGAGAAGAGGACUGACAAUGUCAUGAUCUCAAACAACCACCAGUACUAGACUUGGAGUACAUCAUUAGUGGAGAAGCUCAUUGACAAGAGGAAGACCCUGGACAAAGAGAGCGCUGGUGUCCUUAGCUGGGUAAUUGGAUCUGUCAAAUCAGAGAUAUGUCUUCGUCGUGUGUCAGAGUUAUUUCAGUAGCACGGGUCCAGUUGAUAAGGAAUUAGUGGUUAGCUCGUUCGCCUGUCAACUCUGCAGCAUAAUGGGGUGGUUUUAAGCGCUCCCUUACAGCUCAGUGUAAACACUGUAAUGAUUGCUUUCCAGGCAGACUAAACAAACACUACAGCGACCUAGUGACCUGGCAGGU
rnacentral:lncRNA from 13 species